AUGACCGACGCCCCCGCCGUCGACGUGGAGAAGGCCGGAGCGCCGGCUGGAGGGGCCCCCGAAGGCUCCGGCGGAGGAGGCGCGGUGGGCGCGAUCGUCGGGCGCUGGCGGCGGCAGGACCUCCUGGACAAAUCCGGGUCGGCGCUGCGGGCGGCGGCGUGGGCGUUCUCCCUGCUCGCCUUCCUCGUCAUGGUCGCCAACGAGCACGGCGACUGGAAGCAGUUCGACCACUACGAGGAGUACAGGUACAUCGUCGCGGUGGGGCUGCUGGCGUUCAUCUACACCACGCUCCAGCUGGUGCGACACGGCGUCCGGCUCAGCGGCGGCCAGGACCUGCAGAGCAAGGUCGGCCUGCUGGUCGACUUCGCCGGGGAUCAGGUAACGGCGUACCUUCUGAUGUCCGCAUUGUCCGCUGCGAUCCCGAUCACAAACCGCAUGCGGGAGGGCUCAGACAACGUGUUCACCGACUCGUCCGCUGCCUCGAUUAGCAUGGCCUUCUUCGCCUUUCUUUGCCUCGCAUUCUCAGCUCUCAUCUCAGGUUUCAAGUUGUCCAAGCAGACCUACAUAUGA
rnacentral:rRNA from 1 species